rnacentral:misc_RNA from 1 species
GAUGAAGAACGUAGCGAAAUGCGAUAAGUAAUGUGAAUUGCAGAAUUCAGUGAAUCAUCGAAUCUUUGAACGCACCUUGCACCCUUUGGCCAUUCCGAAGGGCAUGCCUGUUUGAGUAUCAUGAACACCUCAACUCUUCAUGGUUUUCCAUGAUGAGCUUGGACUUUGGGGGUCUUGCUGGCCUGUGGGUCGGCUCCUCUCAAAUGAAUCAGCUUGCCGGUUUUUGGUGGGCAUCACAGGUGUGAUAACUAUCUACGCUUGUGGUUUUCCACCAGGGUAACCUUCAGCAGUGGAGGUUCACUGGAGCUUACAAAUGUCUCUCCUCUGUGAGGACAGCCCUUUGAAUGUUUGAUCUCAAAUCAGGUAGGACUACCCGCUGAACUUAAGCAUAUCAAUAAGCGGAGGA